GACGAACGCGGCGGCGUGCUUAACACAUGCAAGUCGAACGGACGACGAGAGAGCUUGCUCUCUUGAAGUUAGUGGCGAACGGGUGAGUAACGCGUAAUCAACCUGCCCUUCAGAGGGGGAUAACAACGGGAAACCGUUGCUAAUACCGCGUACGAUUCAUAGACGGCAUCGUUUGUGAAUGAAAGGUGGCCUCUAUUUAUAAGCUAUCGCUGAAGGAGGGGAUUGCGUCUGAUUAGCUAGUUGGAGGGGUAACGGCCCACCAAGGCAAUGAUCAGUAGCCGGUCUGAGAGGAUGAACGGCCACAUUGGGACUGAGACACGGCCCAAACUCCUACGGGAGGCAGCAGUGGGGAAUCUUCCGCAAUGGACGAAAGUCUGACGGAGCAACGCCGCGUGAGUGAUGAAGGUCUUCGGAUUGUAAAGCUCUGUUAAUCGGGACGAAAGAGUUCUGUGUGAAUAAUGCAGAAAAAGUGACGG
rnacentral:rRNA from 1 species